rnacentral:rRNA from 1 species
UACAGAGGUCCCAAGCGUUGUUCGGAUUCACUGGGCGUAAAGGGUGCGUAGGUGGCCGGAUAAGUCUGAUGUGAAAUCUCGAAGCUUAACUUCGAAACUGCAUUGGAUACUAUUCGACUAGAGGAUUGGAGGGGGGACUGGAAUUCUCGGUGUAGCAGUGAAAUGCGUAGAUAUCGAGAGGAACACCAGUGGCGAAGGCGAGUCCCUGGACAACUCCUGACACUGAGGCACGAAAGCUAAGGGAG